rnacentral:rRNA from 1 species
AUACGUAGGGUGCGAGCGUUGUCCGGAAUUACUGGGCGUAAAGAGCUCGUAGGUGGUUUGUUGCGUCGUCUGUGAAAUUCCGGGGCUUAACUUCGGGGUGGCAGGCGAUACGGGCAUAACUAGAGUGCUGUAGGGGAGACUGGAAUUCCUGGUGUAGCGGUGGAAUGCGCAGAUAUCAGGAGGAACACCGAUGGCGAAGGCAGGUCUCUGGGCAGUAACUGACGCUGAGGAGCGAAAGCAUGGGGAGCGAACAGGAUUAGAUACCCUGGUAGUCCAUGCUGUAAACGGUGGGCGUUAGGUGUGGGGACCGGUUUGGUUUCUGUGCCGUAGCUAACGCAUUAAGCGCCCCGCCUGGGGAGUACGGCCGCAAGGCUAAA